rnacentral:rRNA from 1 species
GUGUCAGCAGCCGCGGUAAUACCAGCUCUCCGAGAGGUGGGGAUGAUUAUUGGGCCUAAAGCAUCCGUAGCCGGCUGGACAAGUCCCCUGUUAAAUCCAACGAUCCAAUCGUUGGUCUGCGGGGGAUACUGUCCGGCUUGGGGGCGGGAGAGGCCGCCGGUAUUUCCGGGGUAGGGGUGAAAUCCUAUAAUCCCGGGAGGACCACCAGUGGCGAAGGCUGUCGGCUAGAACGCGCCCGACGGUGAGGGAUGAAAGCUGGGGGAGCGAACCGGAUUAGAUACCCGGGUAGUCCCAGCUGUAAACGAUGCAGGCUAGGUGUUAGGGCGGCUACGUGCCGCUCUAGUGCCGCAGGGAAGCCGUUAAGCCUGCCGCCUGGGGAGUACGGUCGCAAGGCUGAAACUUAAAGGAAUUGACGGGG